CUGUCUUGAUCUGUUUUUAAACCUGAGUCUAGGAGGAGAAGCCAGCUGGCUCUCUCUGUAGCCAGAACCAUGACAGCCUCCUGGGCACAGGUCUCCGGCCCUGUCAGAGGGGAGCCAGCCCUCCUGCCACCAGCAUGUUUUGUGUGACCCUGUGAAAGCCCAGGACACGCACAGAGUAGCCCAGGCACUGCCUGUUCUGUGGGCAUGACCUAGCCUCCAAAGCCUGCUUUCUCGUGGGCAUGUGUGUCCAUGAGGGGCGUGUUCACAUGGGGAUGGAGUGUGAGCUUCAGCCACCGAACAUGGGGAUGCGAACAGCACUGACCCAACCGGUCCGGUGGGGGAGACAGAGCCACCCACGGGGAACAUUCCCCGUGUGAUGGGAGAGGUCCUUGCUCUCAGGAAGCUCCCAGGCUGAUGGAGGACUCAAGCCCCUCUCACCUGGUUGGACGGGGAAGCUGCCAGUCUGAUGGGGCGGCAUGGCUCUGCCCCUGCCUGAUGGGGGGGACCUAGCCUAACGCUCAGGCUCACUCACCUGCCCAUUGGAUGGGGAAGAUACAGUUUCUGCCGGGGAGGAGACCCGAGCCUGACGGUGGAGACCCCCGGAGUGAAGUGGGGGAUAAAUCCUUGGCUCUCAGGGCGCUCCCUGUCUGACAGGGGAGAUGGGGCCCUCAACGUGAAGAGACUUCAUAAUAAGACACACGACAGAAACUUUUAAACGAUGCAGACCUAUUUCCAGCGCUGCCGAACUACUCCAAACUCCUCAUUUACACUUUCCUGGAACCUGCAAAUAGCAAGAAUGUGUAAAUUGAGGAAAAUUAAUAUAAUUACCGGAGCUAUUUCUUGUCAUCUCUUCACGUCAACAGAAGCCACAAACCUUUCCUGGUGAGAAGCGGGUGGUUAUGGGCUCUGUCCCCGAUGAGACAGCUGGCUCCUUCUCUGCAGGGAGCAGAUUCCGACGGGUGCCCCGUGAGCUCUGGAAGCCGGCCUGCCCGACAGAUGGGCCGGGCUGCGUGGUGGAGAGGGCGCCUGGGCCCUGAGUCAGGAGACGUGGCUCGAGGUUUGGCACCAGCCUGAAGGUGACCCACAGGUCCCGAAGCCUCUGUGAACCCCAGUCUUGCCCAACACUAGUCCAAACGUGCUGAAGUCUUGCUGGGUCCAGGGACUGUCUGUGCUUAGAGCAUUGUGUCCCCGACCGCCAUGAACUGUCACACCCAUCCCCAGAGGAAGUUCUGUUAUCCCCACUUUACAGAUGAGGACAUUGGGGCUCAGGGAGGCGAAGUCACUUGCUCAGUGUCACACAGCACAGAAGUCGCCAGGGCUGUGGGUCUCAACACUCCUCCCCCUUCCUUGGCCCAUUUCCCGGCCCCGGCCCCUCCACUCUGCUGCCCAAGGGCCCUGUGUGAGAACAGGUGCCCAAACAAACCACAGAAUGUUUGCAAGCCGUGAGCAUCGGUCUCCUCUUCUGGAACUUGGGGAUAUUAACAGCAUCGACUGCCUGGGCUAUUUUGAGGAUGAAAUGAGUUAAUUUAUGUUAAAUAGUUAGAGCCGUUCCUGGCCCAUAGGGAGCCCUCAUUAACUUGAUUAUCAUCUCGUGCUCCUCGGUAGAGCGUUAAAUGCCCCUGGCACCUGCUCAGAGAGGGAUAGCUGAGCUCCCCCAGUGUGCGUUCACAGCGGUUUGCGCAGAACCUCUAACAGUUCUGCUGGCUGAGGACUCACCACGCCGGUGUCGCUCACCAAGGAUUUGGGGAAAUAAAGGCAAAGUGCAGGAAACACCAUUGUGACGAAUAGGCAUCCAUCCCAUUGCGAGCUGUUAGUUGGAUCCAGAAAUAGAUGGUGUAAAUGUGCAGAAAACAGGGUUUGAGCAAGCAUAUCCUGGAGUAGGUUUCAUUCAUUCAUUGUUCACUCAUUCAUCAUUCAUUCAUUCACUCACACACUCAUUCUUCCGUGCAUUCAUUAUUCAUUCACUCAUUCCUUCAUGCAUUCAUUCACUCAUUCACGCAUUCAUCUGUUCAGUGCCUACUGCUGGUUGCUCUGUGCCAGUUUAGGGCAGGGCAGUAGAGCCAGGGCAGCCAAUGAGUACACACUCCCUCUGCAUUCAUGGAGCAGAGCCCCCAGCCUCAUGGGCAACAGGUUUGAAAACAGAAGCUUCACAAGCCCAACAUGUAGGGAUGAGAACAUUGGCUUGGGGGUCUCACAGAUGUGGGACCUGCUGGGGCUACAUGGGGGGAAGGGCCUCAGGACCAUCCUUUUCCAGGCCCAUCUCGGGGGAAGGGAGACCCACCAUGAAGCUGGACUCUAAACCCAGGGCUUGGAUUCCAGGGAUGGGGGUGCUGUGGCCGGGGAGGCCAGCUCCAUGCCAGAGAUCUGAGUUCUGGUCAGCCUGAAUCUGACUCUGACAGGCAGACAUGAUCUUUCCUCCUGUUAUUUCUGCUGAACUAGGUGACCAGGCCUUUUCCUUUGGCAAAUCCAGGGACAUGCAUUUUCAUGCUGUUUUGCAUAAAUCAGGAAACUUAUUUGCAUCCAUUUGCAUGUUUUGCUGGAUGUGAGGUUUGAGAGGCCCAAAUUUAAUUUGUGUAAAAUGAAGUAAGGGUGUUGAUUUCACCCCCUCUCUGCUGGCCUGAACCCCACAGGCCAUGAAGGAGCUCAGAGGCGCUGGUGGUCGCCAUUGGAUGGCUACACCAGGGAAGGACUCUGGGGCCAGCUCUCCCCGUGCUGCUCAGGGCUGAGGGGGAAGGAGAACCAUUGGGCAACUGGGUACAGAUGAAACCACAGGGCAGGGUGUCCUCAGUGUCCCAUCACAGACUUUGGAACAGGUAUAGACAGGGGGAGUGGUGUACAUGGUUCUAGCUAGGCUCUUUAUACAUGACUAGAGGCCUGGAACACGAAAUUCAUGCACAGGUUCCUAGGCCUAGCCUGCAACCAGGGCCAUCUUCCCUGGCUGCUGGCAGCCAAUCCACCCCCUGCCACCACCCACCUGGGUUCCCAGUUUGCCAUUGGGCAAUCAGAGCCUGACGGCCGGGGGGAGGGGCCAAGAGGUCAGCAGUUCCUGCCUGCUCGCUGGUGCCACCCCUACCGCAGGUGGUCCUCUGUGUGUGGGAUAAUCGGUGGGGCAGGGGCCUUGGUCUGGUGCCGCCUGCAUCCCCCGCCACCUACCCCUGGGUCCCCAUUCACCAUCGGGCGAUUGGAGCCUGCCGGCCCAGGAAAGGGACCGAGAGGUGGUCGGUGCACCUCAUAGUGUCAUCGAGCAGUUGUUCUGGUCGUUCUGCCAUUAUGGUCACUAGGCUUUUAUUAUAUAGAAUAGUCCAUUUCACCGUAGAGUCUUAUGAGGUGGGUUAUUAACUCCAUUUUAGAGAUGAGAAAACUGAGGCACAGGAGCUGAAGUGACCCAUCCAAGGCCACAUGACUGGUCUUUAGAGACCCUGGACUCAACACAUGCCAAUUUGGUUCUGGACCUUUCUGCCCUGAUUAGAGAGCAGAGAAGCCCUCUCUUCUUUCCCUGUGUUUUGCUGGACUACCUCAUGAAGAAGGAACCUUGGCAGCACCCAUGCCUCCAGAAUGGCCUGGUCUCCAUGACAACAGAGUUGGUCUUGAAUGAGUUUGACAAUGAGCUAUGUCGGAAGGGACACUGCGCCAGUUCUGGGCCUGGUGGCUUCCGCUUUCAUGCUCGUGGGAGCUCUGUGUUGGCAUGUGAGAAGUCCAGCUACCCUGAUGGAGGGAUGGUAGAGACAGAGGCAUGGCGACAGGGAGGACCUGGGAGAGAGUCCCAGCCCUGGGUGUGCGCACAUGCACCCAUCAUCUUGGACACUGCUGCCUGGUCAAGUCGCCAGAGGACUCCAGAUGAUGCCACAGCCAGCAGAAGAACCACCCAACUGAACCCGGUGAACCCACAGAAUCACGAGAGAGCGUAACAAAGGGAUUACAAUUAUCAGCCGAUAUUUCUGGCAGCUCAAGCUUGAAAUGGGACAGCACAGCGGAGGCUGUCAGAAAGGGAAGGGUACCCGAUUACACCAAUUAUCUAAUUGUUUGCUAAUGAGACACCCAGCGCAUCUCCGUGUUUACAGUGAGGGACAGAAAAGCUCCGCACCGUCAUUGUUCUUCUGCUUUGCUGAUGGGCACGUGCCCAGCUCGGGGUUUUACAUCCCAAGGAGAACUUCCAUUCUCAGGACCCUUCAUCCCUGGAUACCACUGGAACCCCCGCCAUCUGUCCUUGGGCCUUCUGCCUGCUCUCGGAGGUAACGGAGUGCAGGGGACCCCGGUGUGCUCGGCCCCCGUGGGGGUGACGCUGUGCGGGUUGCAGGAUGCAUGGUGAGAAACGUGUCACCCCCAAACCAAAGAGCAAGUGGAAUGAAUUGGGCCGAAAGGUGUUCUGAGUCAGAAACCUCUCUUGCAGACGGGGAAAGAGGCUCAGAGAGGGCGUGAGUUGGCUAAGGUGCCACAAGAGGGUGCGGCAGAGCUGAACCUGAACCCCAGGUCUCCUGAUUCCUGAUGUAAUAGUCUUUCCACCCACUGCCUUCAGCCUGUGUGAACUCGGGCUGCUUAAGUCUCCUGUGCAGCUGACUGGACUGGGAAGCAGAUCUGGACCAGAAUCGUGGGAGGUGUCCAGGCCCUGGAGCACCCCAUUUACCUGCAGGCUCAUGCGGGGCAGCGGCCCUUCCUCAGCACGAGGUGUGGUGGGCAGGGCUUUGCUCUCGGGUCAGAAGAACCAGCAGUGUGACCUUUACCAAAUUCUUUAACCCUUUGAGCCUCAAAGGGAACAGAAGGCCCAAAAUGAGGGAGGACUCAUGAAAAUCAGUAUUUAAAUGGUUUAUUCAAAGAACCAUUUUCCCAAGGACACACAAGGUCAGAGUGUGUAUGUGUGCGUGUGUGUGUGUGUGUGUGUGUGUGUGUGAGACUUCCAUCAUUUUAUGUUAGUAAUAAAAAUAGCUGCUGUUUACUGAGGCCCCGUUAUAUAUUCCAGGCAUGUGUCAAAUACUUUACAUGUAUUAUCUCAUUUAAUCAGUGCUAUGAGGCAGGAAUGCCACCCCCAUUUUAUGGCUGAGGAAACUGAGGCUCUCAGAGAUCAGAGGGUUUAACUCCCAUGGCACAUGGCAAGGCCAGGAUGGAGACCCAGCAAAUUUCCAAAGACCUGUGUCAAUCCUCAGCUGAGGAUAUUUUCCUCCCAUUGAUUUUUAGAGAGAGUGGAAGAAGGG